AUGGCGUUCUCGUGGCCCUCGGCCCUCCGCCUCGCCGUCGGCGCCGCCCUGCUCACGGCCGCCGGCGUCGCGCUCUUCACGCUCCCCGUCGAGAAGAUUUUGAAGGAUUUUCUUGUUUGGAUCAAAGAGAACCUUGGUGCAUGGGGUCCUUUGGUAUUGGCCCUUGCUUACAUCCCUUUGACGGUCUUAGCUGUUCCAGCCUCAAUACUCACACUUGGGGGUGGUUAUCUAUUUGGCCUGCCCGUUGGGUUUGUUGCUGAUUCCAUUGGAGCGACAAUUGGCGCAACUGCUGCAUUUUUGCUUGGUAGAACGAUUGGAAGGCCGUAUGUUCUCUCCAAAUGCAAAGAUUACCCCAAGUUUCAAGCAGUAGCUAUAGCCAUUCAAAGGUCUGGCUUCAAGAUCGUGUUGCUACUACGGCUUGUACCUCUACUUCCAUUUAACAUGUUGAACUACCUGUUGUCUGUCACUCCUGUUGGCAUUGUGGAAUACAUGCUGGCAUCUUGGCUGGGAAUGAUGCCAAUCACUCUCGCCUUGGUAUAUGUGGGAACAACAUUAAAAGAUCUAUCAGAUGUGACACAUGGAUGGAGUGAGAUCUCGACUACCAGAUGGGUUCUCAUAAUUUCUGGCUUUGCAAUGUCCAUUCUCUUGAUUAUAUGCGUCACAAGAGUCGCAAAAUCUGCUCUGGACAAGGCGCUGGCAGAGAAUGGGGAGGCGGAUCUAGGAGCCCCGCAGCUUCCGGUGGCGGCCUCUCCCUCGGACCUGCAUCAACCUCUUGUAAUCAGGAUUGACACCUCGAAUGAAGAUCACGAGAAGUAA
rnacentral:rRNA from 1 species